rnacentral:rRNA from 1 species
AGAGUUUGAUCAUGGCUCAGGACGAACGCUGGCGGCGUGCUUAACACAUGCAAGUCGAACGAUGAACCACUUCGGUGGGGAUUAGUGGCGAACGGGUGAGUAACACGUGGGCAAUCUGCCCUGCACUCUGGGACAAGCCCUGGAAACGGGGUCUAAUACCGGAUACUGACCCGCUAGGGCAUCCAAGCGGUUCGAAAGCUCCGGCGGUGCAGGAUGAGCCCGCGGCCUAUCAGCUUGUUGGUGAGGUAAUGGCUCACCAAGGCGACGACGGGUAGCCGGCCUGAGAGGGCGACCGGCCACACUGGGACUGAGACACGGCCCAGACUCCUACGGGAGGCAGCAGUGGGGAAUAUUGCACAAUGGGCGAAAGCCUGAUGCAGCGACGCCGCGUGAGGGAUGACGGCCUUCGGGUUGUAAACCUCUUUCAGCAGGGAAGAAGCGAAAGUGACGGUACCUGCAGAAGAAGCGCCGGCCAACUACGUGCCAGCAGCCGCGGUAAGACGUAGGGCGCGAGCGUUGUCCGGAUUUAUUGGGCGUAAAGAGCUCGUAGGCGGCUUGUCGCGUCGACCGUGAAAACUUGGGGCUCAACCCCAAGCCUGCGGUCGAUACGGGCAGGCUAGAGUUCGGUAGGGGAGACUGGAAUUCCUGGUGUAGCGGUGAAAUGCGCAGAUAUCAGGAGGAACACCGGUGGCGAAGGCGGGUCUCUGGGCCGAUACUGACGCUGAGGAGCGAAAGCGUGGGGAGCGAACAGGAUUAGAUACCCUGGUAGUCCACGCUGUAAACGUUGGGCGCUAGGUGUGGGGGGCCUCUCCGGUUCCCUGUGCCGCAGCUAACGCAUUAAGCGCCCCGCCUGGGGAGUACGGCCGCAAGGCUAAAACUCAAAUGAAUUGACGG